CUGCAUGCGAGUGCUAUACAUGCAGUCGAGCGAAUGGAUUAAGAGCUUGCUCUUAUGAAGUUAGCGGCGGACGGGUGAGUAACACGUGGGUAACCUGCCCAUAAGACUGGGAUAACUCCGGGAAACCGGGGCUAAUACCGGAUAACAUUUUGAACCGCAUGGUUCGAAAUUGAAAGGCGGCUUCGGCUGUCACUUAUGGAUGGACCCGCGUCGCAUUAGCUAGUUGGUGAGGUAACGGCUCACCAAGGCAACGAUGCGUAGCCGACCUGAGAGGGUGAUCGGCCACACUGGGACUGAGACACGGCCCAGACUCCUACGGGAGGCAGCAGUAGGGAAUCUUCCGCAAUGGACGAAAGUCUGACGGAGCAACGCCGCGUGAGUGAUGAAGGCUUUCGGGUCGUAAAACUCUGUUGUUAGGGAAGAACAAGUGCUAGUUGAAUAAGCUGGCACCUUGACGGUACCUAACCAGAAAGCCACGGCUAACUACGUGCCAGCAGCCGCGGUAAUACGUAGGUGGCAAGCGUUAUCCGGAAUUAUUGGGCGUAAAGCGCGCGCAGGUGGUUUCUUAAGUCUGAUGUGAAAGCCCACGGCUCAACCGUGGAGGGUCAUUGGAAACUGGGAGACUUGAGUGCAGAAGAGGAAAGUGGAAUUCCAUGUGUAGCGGUGAAAUGCGUAGAGAUAUGGAGGAACACCAGUGGCGAAGGCGGACUUUCUGGUCUGUAACUGACACUGAGGCGCGAAAGCGUGGGGAGCAAACAGGAUUAGGAUACCCUGGUAGUCCACGCCGUAACGAUGAGUGCUAAGUGUUAGAGGGUUUCCGCCCUUUAGUGCUGAAGUUAACGCAUUAAGCACUCCGCCUGGGAGUACGGCCGCAAGGCUGAAACUCAAGGAAUUGACGGGGGCCCGCACAAGCGUGGAGCAUGGUGGUUUAUUCGAAGCGACGCGAAAGAACCUUACAGGUCUGACAUCCUCUGAAACCCUAGAGAUAGGCUUCCUCCUU
rnacentral:rRNA from 1 species